rnacentral:rRNA from 1 species
GACGAACGCUGGCGGCGUGCUUAACACAUGCAAGUCGAACGAUGAAACCUAGCUUGCUAGGUCGAUUAGUGGCGAACGGGUGAGUAACACGUGACUAACCUGCCCCUUUCUCUGGGAUAACGCUUCGAAAGGAGUGCUAAUACCGGAUACUCACAUCGAGGCACAUGCCUUGAUGUGGAAAGUUUUUCGGAAAGGGAUGGAGUCGCGGCCUAUCAGCUUGGUGGUGAGGUAACGGCUCACCAAGGCGACGACGGGUAGCCGGCCUGAGAGGGCGACCGGCCACACUGGGACUGAGACACGGCCCAGACUCCUACGGGAGGCAGCAGUGGGGAAUAUUGCACAAUGGGCGCAAGCCUGAUGCAGCGACGCCGCGUGAGGGAUGAAGGUCUUCGGAUUGUAAACCUCUUUCAGUAGGGACGAAGCGAAAGUGACGGUACCUAAAGAAGAAGCACCGGCUAACUACGUGCCAGCCGCCGCUGUAA